GGGGAAUCCCAUUACACUGAAAAUGCGAUCUAGCUGAUCGUGAUGAAAAGGAUUACUUGUUUUGAUGUCCUCCUGACGACAGUGAAAUAUAGGUUCCGAAGUCAAUAAUUCAGCAAAUAUGCAGCCAAUUGCCCAAAUAUCAAUAGCCUUUGUGUAAUGUCUGGCUCCAAGUAGCAGCUCUGGAGCUCUGUACCAGAAUGUCACCACAACUGGAUCCAAGUCUGCCAACGGCUUCAAAGGUGAAUUGAACAAUCUGGCAAAGCCCAUAUCAGCUAUUUUGACUCUUCC
rnacentral:lncRNA from 1 species